AGUGAACGCUGGCGGUAGGCCUAACACAUGCAAGCCGAACGGCAGCACAGUAAGAGCUUGCUCUUACGGGUGGCGAGUGGCGGACGGGUGAGGAAUACAUCGGAAUCUACUUUUUCGUGGGGGAUAACGUAGGGAAACUUACGCUAAUACCGCAUACGACCUACGGGUGAAAGCAGGGGAUCUUCGGACCUUGCGCGAUUGAAUGAGCCGAUGUCGGAUUAGCUAGUUGGCGGGGUAAAGGCCCACCAGGGCGACGAUCCGUAGCUGGUCUGAGAGGAUGAUCAGCCACACUGGAACUGAGACACGGUCCAGACUCCUACGGGAGGCAGCAGUGGGGAAUAUUGGACAAUGGGCGCAAGCCUGAUCCAGCCAUACCGCGUGGGUGAAGAAGGCCUUCGGGUUGUAAAGCCCUUUUGUUGGGAAAGAAAAGCAGCAGGUUAAUACCCCGCUGUUCUGACGGUACCCAAAGAAUAAGCACCGGCUAACUUCGUG
rnacentral:rRNA from 1 species